GGGCUUAUAGAUCAGUGGUAGAUCGCAUGCUUUGCAAUUACACAUCGUGCAUGAAUUCCCCAGGGUUCAACCCCCUGUGAGUCCA